CGAAACGAUAACUUGUCAACAAUGAGAAUCAGAUACUUGGCUUAAUAAUUUUCAUUUAAAAUGUCUAAUUUGGAUAUAAUUCGGAAUACAAAACGAAACUUAAAAGGUAUUUUUUUAAAAAAACGUUCCAAAGCACAAUGUGGAUUUCAAUAGAAAUACUAUUUCCACCGACAAUCAGUAUUUCCGGUAUGACCACUGUUAUUUUGACGAUUUUUCUAUCGAAUCGUCGGUAAGCGUGACCACAUGUGACAACAGCGAUGCCAGUUGGAAAAUUGGUAGACGAGUCGUUGAACUCGACACAUUGGCCGAAUCGCUUUCAGCAUGCAGUGCUUGUCAACUCAAGUGCCAUGAAUUUACUUAACACAGUAGAAAGCAGGGAUUUCGGACUGGCAUGUGUUUUGGACAUACAGUGUAGCAAUUGUGGUGCAAUAAAUAACGUGGCUACUGGAUGGAAACAUGGCAGAGUUUAUGACAUGAACACAAAGCUUGCAUUGGGUUAAUCAGAAACUGGGUGUUUCACCUGGGACUUUCACAUAAAAAAUGGCCCUUCUCCGUGACCUUCAGCACAAAAAAAGAAAGGCUAUAACUGUUACUCGUGCAGCAAAACAGCGACGCAUAAGACUCAAAACUGGAACGGCAUUCAAAGGACAUAGUGCAAGAAGUACGAGAGGGUCCAACAUACUGUUCAAACAUAGAGGACCAAGAUGUUGAAGUUACAACUAUACCCCCACCUGUACCCAAGCCUGGUCCAGCAGGGCUAGACACUACUGGGAAGGAAUGUGUUUUCUUUGAUUUGGAAACAAGAGGGUUAGAGCGUACUUCUCACAUAAUUCAGAUAGCUGCAGUGCAUUCAACUGGUCAGUUUUCAACAUCAUGUGAUGCCAGAGAAGAAGAUGUCAUUGAAAGCGUCAGAAAUAACUGGAGUGACAGUUGUUGGCGACUCUGUGAUUGUCAAUGGACAAACAGUAACAGCUGUCCCCAUCAAAUCUGCAUUGACAAGUUUUAUAACAUUCUUACAGAAAUGUUCACCGGUUAUUUUAGUUGGGCAUAAUAUAGAGUCUUUUGAUUGUAAAGUGUUGCUCCAUGCUAUCCAUACUUGUGGAAAAAUGUCUGAGUUUCAGCAAAAUAUUUGUGGCUUUUUAGAUACUUACCAAAUAUGAAAUCAUAUUAGCAGAAAAAUUUAGUUAAAGACGUCAUUGGUGAAUUAUACAUGUACAUGGCACAUGGCGCUCUACAGGAUGUUUUAGCUUUUCAAAAGUUAGUGAACUCUGUUCCUCUUGACCAAAAUGUUGUUAACAAAUAUUCAUUCAGCUAUGACCGAGCAGUAUUAGCAUACAAUGUGUAACUAAAUGUUGCUUCCAACAUCAAAUCUUUGCAAACCAUGAUUGAUACAAAAGUUAUACGUGUGUAAGUCAAGGUGUUGCAAGGAAAGUUGCAGGAAGUGGAUUGCAACUUAAACAUUUGAGUACUGUAUCAAAAAGAAACGGACUGAGUGGUUUGAGGAGCCCCCUGUCAGAGGUUACACACAGACAAAUCAGAGUAACAAAAUCAGAGAAAAAAAUAUGAGCAAUAGCGAGUUAUUUGUUGCCUGACAUAUAAACAAUUGUAAUUUUCAUCUUGUAUAUAGAUUAGCUAUGAAAUCUAAUAGCUGUUACAUAAAAAAAUUUCCUUCUCGAUGACAAACAUAGUUGUGAUUCUUAUGUCAGUUGUAUUUCUCAUGUUUCACCUAAGUUGUAAGAUAUUUUUGGCAGUGCAUUAAACCACAGAUGGUGUGUGAAACAUAAUUGCCCGGCUAAUUGUAUUCUAUGUUGUUUUUUGUAGAUGUACUAAUCUGAUAAAAGUAUUUGCGUAGCCUGAAUUUUGAUUGUUGUUGCUCUCAUUAGUAGUUGUUGUGUACAUGUGUAUCCUAUAUAUGGACAACAACACAUUUUUGUUAAUGAAUUGCAAACAUGGCUUUGCUUAAUGUGUGUGAUUUGUGUCACAUAUUUUACAUUGUUCUAUGUCCCAAUAACAGUGAAAUAAUCAUUAUCUUGAAUUUCAUAAAUUAUAAUUUGGCAAAGGUUUCUGAUUGUAUAAGAAAACUAUGAAAAAUUCAGUUUCAGAUGGCCCCCCAAAAAGACAAAUGUAUUUCUCAUGUGUCCAGCUUUUGACAUCCUAAAAGAAGCCUUAUUAUACAUGCGUACAACAUAAAAAAAUCAACAAUACCUUUUUUAUUGACAUUCUUUUUGCAGUAUCUGUAACAAUGCCGUUCACUAAACAAUAGUGUAUCACAGCACAAAGCAGUACUAUUUGUAAAAAAAUUAUAUAUUAAUUGAUGUCUGGUUUUUAGCUCCACUGGCCGAAGGGCAGUGUCCUGUGUCAUGGUCCUAUGUCAUGGUCCUGUGUCCGUCGUGUGUGCAUGCGUCCGUGCGUUAACUUUUCCUUAAAACAUCUUCGUCUCCUAAACUACUGGUCCAAUUCUGAUAAAAUUUCUCAGGAAUGUUCCUGGGGUGAACCUCUUUCAUAUUUGUUCAAAUUAUGCCCCUGGGGUCAAAUUUGACCCUGCCCCGGGGGUCACUGCCUAUUUUGUGAAAACUUUCAAAAUCCUCUUGUCCAUAACCAUUGGGCCUAGGGCUAUCAAAUUUGGUAUGUAGAGACAUCUAAUAGUCCUCUACCAAAUUUGUUCAAAUUAUGCCCCUGGGGUCAAAUAUGACCCGCCCCGGGGUCACAAAAUUGAACAUAUGCUUAUAUAGGGUCUAUUUUGUGAAAACUUUACAAAUCUACUCGUCCAUAUCCAUUGGGCCUAGGGCUACCAAAUUUUGUAUGUAGUGGCAUCUUAUAGUCCUCUACCAAGUUUGUUCAAAUUAUGCCCCUGGGGUCAAGUUUGACCCUGACCCCAGGGUCACAAAAUUGAAUAAUGCUUAUACAAGGCCUUUUUUGUGAAAACUUAAAAAUCUUCUUGUCCAUAACAGUAUGGCAUAGGGCUACCAAAUUUGGUAUGUAGUGACAUGUAAUAGUUCUCUACCAAGUUUGUUCAAAUUAUGCCCCUUGGGUCAAAUUUGAAACUGCCCCGGGGGUCACAAAACUAAACAUAUGCUUAUAAAGUGCUUAUUUUGUGAAAACUUUAAAAAUCUUUUGUCCAUAUCCAUUGGUCCUAGGGCUACCAAAUUUUGUAUGUAGUGACAUCUUAUAAACCUCUACCAAAUUUGUUCAAAUAAUGCCUCUGGGGUCAACUUUGACCCUGCCCCGGGGGUCACACAAUUUAAUAUACGCUUAUAAAGCGCCUAUUUUGUGAAAUCUUUAAAAAUCUUCUUGUCAAAAACCAUUUGGACUAUGGCUACCAAAUUUGGUUUGCAGUAACAUCUUAUGGUCCUCAACCAAGUUUGUUCAAAUAAUGCCCUUUGGGUCAAAUUUGACCCUGACCCGUGGGUCACAAAAUUGAACAUUGUAUACGUUUAUAUGAUGCUUAUUUUGUGAAAACUUUUAAAAUAUUCUUGUCCUUAACUCUAGGACUUAGGGCUACCACAUUUUGUAUGUAGUGAGAUAUAGUAGUCCUCUACAAAGUUUGCUCAAAUUAUGCCUCUGGGGUUAAAGUUGACCCACCCCAGGGGGUCACAAAAGUGAACAUGUGCUUAAAUAGGGCCUAUAUUUAAGUAUUUGCACAUGCCGAGAAUAUUUUUUUCAGCCUUUUUUCAGCAGUGGAGCGAUACAGGGCCAUCAUGUCCCUCUUGUCUUUUAAUACACAUCACACAGUUCUAAAAAUAAUAAUUUUAAAAUAAUACAUAUGUUCAAUUUACAACCCACAACGUGGGUAACAGGUGGGUGGGGUAAUUUAAGAUGUUUAUUUGAACAUCAACAUUGUUUUUUUCAUUUGUUACAUCUGAAAUAUUUUCAUAACAAUGUACAUUAUAAAUAUUUCUACGUGUAUCACAUUUCAGUUGAUAAUUUGAUUGUUAUAGAGCAGUUAUUAUAUAGAUAUGUUUUAAUUACUAUUACAAUGUUAGUCAUUAUAUUUGUUAAAUUAAGUCCAUAUUAAAAUGUCUGUAGCAAAAAAAAAUCCACGGUGACCUAUCAAUUUCUUUACUUCAUUUUAAUGCUAAGCUAGUUUCCUUUAAUUAUUGAGAACUUCAAAUGAAUAUGAAUAUUACAUCAACAGAAAUAUGUAUCUGUAUUGCAUGUUAUCUAUUUUGAACUGUGCAAUAAAAAAUUCAAAACAAACAAAAAACUAGUCAUACUUA